rnacentral:rRNA from 1 species
GACGAACGCUGGCGGCGUGGAUUAGGCAUGCAAGUCGGACGGUAGGGCUUUAUCGUAAGAUAGAGUUUGAGAGUGGCGAACGGGUGAGUAACACGUAGGAAUCUACCCUUAAGACGGGGACAACCCAGGGAAACUUGGGCUAAUACCGGAUGAGAGUGCGAGAGAUUGCAUUUAAAAGGAUGGCGAAAGUUGUCGCUUAGGGAUGAGCCUGCGGUCUAUUAGUUAGUUGGUGAGGUAAGAGCUCACCAAGGCGAUGAUAGAUAGGCGGCCUUAACGGGUGGUCGCCCACACUGGGAUUGAGAUACGGCCCAGACUCCUACGGGAGGCAGCAGUGGGGAAUAUUGGACAAUGGGCGAAAGCCUGAUCCAGCAAUGCCGCGUGAGUGAUGAAGGCCUUAGGGUUGUAAAGCUCUUUUACCAGGGAUGAUAAUGACAGUACCUGGAGAAUAAGCUCCGGCUAACUCCGUG